AUUGAACGCUGGCGGCAUGCUUUACACAUGCAAGUCGAACGGUAACAGGGAGCUUGCUCCGCUGACGAGUGGCGAACGGGUGAGUAAUGCAUCGGAACGUACCCAGUCGUGGGGGAUAACGUAGCGAAAGUUACGCUAAUACCGCAUACGUCCUGAGGGAGAAAGCGGGGGACCGAAAGGCCUCGCGCGAUUGGAGCGGCCGAUGUCGGAUUAGCUAGUUGGUGGGGUAAAGGCCUACCAAGGCGACGAUCCGUAGCGGGUCUGAGAGGAUGAUCCGCCACACUGGGACUGAGACACGGUCCAGACUCCUACGGGAGGCAGCAGUGGGGAAUUUUGGACAAUGGGGGCAACCCUGAUCCAGCAAUGCCGCGUGAGUGAAGAAGGCCCUCGGGUUGUAAAGCUCUUUUGUCAGGGAAGAAACGGUCUACUCUAAUACAGUGGGCUAAUGACGGUACCUGAAGAAUAAGCACCGGCUAACUACGUGCCAGCAGCCGCGGUAAAGUGACGCU
rnacentral:rRNA from 1 species